GGCUGUGUGGCCUAGUGGUAUGAUUCUCGCUUAGGGUGCGAGAGGUCGUGUGCGAGAGGUCCCGAGUUCAAUUCUCGGCAUAGCCC